AACGAACGCUGGCGGCAUGCCUAACACAUGCAAGUCGAACGAGACCUUCGGGUCUAGUGGCGCACGGGUGCGUAACGCGUGGGAACCUGCCUUUAGGUUCGGGAAUAACUCAGAGAAAUUUGAGCUAAUACCGGAUAAUGUCUUCGGACCAAAGAUUUAUCGCCUUUAGAUGGGCCCGCGUUGGAUUAGCUAGUUGGUGGGGUAAAGGCCUACCAAGGCGACGAUCCAUAGCUGGUCUGAGAGGAUGAUCAGCCACACUGGGACGUGAGACACGGCCCAGACUCCUAC
rnacentral:rRNA from 1 species